UACAGAGGGGGCAAGCGUUGUUCGGAAUUACUGGGCGUAAAGGGCUCGUAGGUGGCCAACUAAGUCAGACGUGAAAUCCCUCGGCUUAACCGGGGAACUGCGUCUGAUACUGGAUGGCUUGAGUUUGGGAGAGGGACGCGGAAUUCCAGGUGUAGCGGUGAAAUGCGUAGAUAUCGGAAGGAACAUCAGUGGCGAAAGCGACUUCCUGGACCAGUACCGACGUUCAGGCACGAAAGCGUGGGGAGCAAACAGG
rnacentral:rRNA from 1 species